rnacentral:rRNA from 1 species
CACCAGGCGCGAAAACUCUACAAUGCAGGCAACUGCGAUAGGGGGACAUCGAGUGGCAUCCACCUUGGGUGCCUGUCCAACCGUCUAAAAAACGGUUGUUAGCAAGGGCCGGGUAAGACCGGUGCCAGCCGCCGCGGUAAUACCGGCGGCCCGAGUGGUGGCCGAUAUUAUUGAGUCUAAAGGGUCCGUAGCCGGCUUGGCAAGUCUCUUGGGAAAUCCGGCGGCUUAACCGUCGGUCGUCCGGGAGAUACUACCUUGCUUGGGACUGGGAGAGGCGUGAGGUACUCAGGGGGUAGGAGUGAAAUCCUGUAAUCCUUUGGGGACCACCGGUGGCGAAGGCGUCACGCCAGAACAGGUCCGACGGUGAGGGACGAAAGCUAGGGGCACGAACCGGAUUAGAUACCCGGGUAGUCCUAGCCGUAAACGAUGCUCGCUAGGUGUCACGACAAUCGUGAAUUGUCGUGGUGCCGUAGGGAAGCCGUGAAGCGAGCCACUUGGGAAGUACGACCGCAAGGUUGAAACUUAAAGGAAUUGGCGG